rnacentral:tRNA from 4 species
GUCGGAGUGGAGCAGCGGUAGCUCGGCGGCCUCAUAAGCCGCAGGCCGCAGGUUCGAUCCCUGCCUCCGGCA